UGUGUGUGUGUGUGUGUGUGUGUGUUUCCGUGUGUGUUUCCACCCAUGAAAGCAUCUUGAUUUUUAAAUCUAGAUUGAGAGAUGUUGCACGCACACACAAACACACACACACAUGUACAUACAUACA